AGGAAGAUUGUUAAUGUAGCGGCUAGGAGCUGAGUUGAAGUGAAACCCCUUUGGAAGACAAUCGUUCAUCGCUCCACCGCGAAAUGCGCCUUGUUCGCUACCUUUUAUGUAAAUUGUAUUCGUGCUCAUGUGACCCGGAUUAUUGGAUUCCAAUAAAGGUCUUGAUGCACAGACAACGUUUGUUCGAGGAGAAAUAAGGAACAAAAAGAGUAACAUGAAGAAGGAAAUGUAGCUCGACAUUUACUGAAGUUAGCUAUCAAUCUUUGCUCUAUAAUAUCUUGUAUUCUUGUGAGGAAUAUAUGCUCUAUUUAUAUAUGAGUGGGUGUGUUUGCUUGUGAUCAUUGUAUUGACCAAGUUACGUAUGUGUAUCCUUGCGUGGUGAGCUUUGAAAUAGAACAACUCACAUAGAACACUUUUUCGAUCAUGCUCGUGCUUCUCAUUACGCCAAACCUU